CGCAAGCCUGAUCCAGCAAUGCCGCGUGGAGGACGAAGGUCUUCGGAUCGUAAACUCCUGUCAGGCGGGACGAAGGCUUCCGGGCAAAUAGUCCGGAAGCUUGACGGUACUGCCAGAGGAAGCCCCGGCUAACUCCGUGCCAGCAGCCGCGGUAAUACGGAGGGGGCUAGCGUUAUUCGGAAUUAUUGGGCGUAAAGGGCGCGUAGGCGGCCCGGUAAGUCAAAGGUGAAAUCCCUCGGCUCAACUGAGGAACUGCCUUUGAAACUGUCGGGCUCGAGGCCGGGAGGGGGUAGCGGAAUUCCCAGUGUAGCGGUGAAAUGCGUAGAUAUUGGGGGGAACACCGGUGGCGAAGGCGGCUACCUGGACCGGUUCUGACGCUGAUGCGCGAAAGCGUGGGUAGCAAACAGGAUUAGAUACCCUGGUAGUCCACGCUGUAAACGAUGAGUGCUCGGUGUCGCGGGUAUCGACCCCUGCGGUGCCUUAGCUAACGCGUUAAGCACUCCGCCUGGGGAGUACGGUCGCAAGGCUG
rnacentral:rRNA from 1 species